UUUUUUCUUUGGAGAUGGAACCUCGUGAGCAGUGCAUCUCUCUGAGGAAGAGCCCUGCCUCGAUACCUGCAUUAAGGGGUAGCAACACACGUUGAUGGGAACAGAGCUCUGCAGUCUGAUAGGAGCGGCCGCAGUGGGAUCUGUCCUUCCUGCUGCCCGGAGCUGAAGCUGGGCCUUGUCGCUUGUAUCAUCGACUGCAGCAGAUGCAUUGUCUUGCACUGUGAAGUGGAAGU